rnacentral:sRNA from 1 species
AUCAACCAGCACGUGGUGAGGAGCCCGGACAUGUUUAUCGAUGAAGUGGUAUUGGCAGGCGUACUUAUCGUCGGACUCUGCGUCGUCUUCUGCGCCGGGUUCGCCUAUUUCAUCUGGAAGGACUCGAAGAAAACCAAGAGCAACUGAUCCUUCCUGAUCAAAGAGCACGCAAGGCAUUUUGGGCGACUUCGGUCGCCCAUUUUUUUG